rnacentral:lncRNA from 1 species
UUUUGGCCUUUUGCAAUUUCCGAUUCUAGCAGCCCAUCUCUUUUCCAACUCCAGCGAUUCUCUUUUAGUUCCUAGCCCAACAUACAAUACAGGAUAACAACUAUAUGCACACCAAAUGUGACCCCACCCCUAUACCGUUUGUUCUUCUUCUCCAAAAGUUCAAUGGAACCCAGUUCACGCGCUGAAAAGUCCAGAACUCGAGCAAAGCAACGAACCAGACGACACCAAAAUAUAGUGACCUCGUUCUCUCUUACACUCGCGCGUGGUCCUCUUCUCUCGUACAUGGAGCAAUUAAGAGAUUCAGUCCAUGUGGCUCUAUCUGUUUGCAGAUUGUCCUUUUCUCAAAAUCGACGACCUUUAUUAUCAAUCCAUUGGGAACUGGUACAAUUCAUGCUGCAACCUUAUUUCUCAAGGAUGAACUUGAAUUUCAAAUGGGGAAAAUCUCUCAAAAUCCCUCCCAAAUUCCCCCCAAGUUUGACCUAGAUUUUUUUCUAUAAAUUCCCAUCUUCUUCUUAUUUCGGGGUUGGGGGAAAAACUGAGUUAAUAGGUUAUGAAAAUAAAAGAGGAAGAAACCGGAAGAAAGUAGCACUCUAGAAACCACAUUUUUAGAUUUCCUUUCUUUCGGAAGCUUUCGUCGGAGCUUCAAAUUUGUAGUAGUAGUUUCAUCGUAAAUUGAUUCCAAAAUGUUGUUUCUCGCUUAUUCACUAUUCUCUGAAGUUCUUGGAUUCUCAUUGUGGUCGUGGAAAGCUUUUUCCCUGCUCGUCUGGUCUCAGUCGCUGCUCAGCAAGAGGUUAUGUUUCCUCUAUUAUACACUCUUCAUUUUUUUUUAUUUUUUUCUACUUUGAUAUGGUGUUUCGAUGUAGUGAAUUCACGACCUCGUUGUUAGGUUGUCGUUAAUCGGUUUUGAAUGUUGAUAGCUUGUAUAUACUACUUGUAUGCUUAAGUAAUCCCUUUGCCUUAUUGUUGGCUAUCGUUUUUGUCUUUUUGCUUUAUCAUGACAAUUUCUAUAUUUCACUUCUCAAGCCUAUUUCGUCAUCUGCUUCAUUUGCUUCCGAUUGUUGAGUCUGCUUUUAUCCGUUUGGUUUACUUUCAAGCAUAUGUUUUUCUUCUAUUUAUUUUUUGGUUCUCAUUUCAGUUAUAUGUUAGGUGUACAUUAUAUUGAUUACCAGUGUUUCCUUUUUCCUACUUGAAGCUUUGUUUUGUUACCUUAGUAAAACAUAUGGCAGAGCUCUUAGUUUGUUUAUUCGUAUUUUUGUCACCGUAAAUUUCAUGCUCCUCUUUCCAUUUGUUUUUAUGUCUCAUGCUUGAGUUUAUGUUUCUAUUUGAAUGAUAUUUUUAUUUGAUUCAUUGUUCUUCGUAAGGUUCUAUCGAUAUAUGAUAUGAAUAUGCAUGUUGUGUUUAUAGCUAGUUAUGAUAUUCCAAAGUUUGAAAAUGUUUGUUGUAUGCUUGAAAUUGUUUGAAGAUUUAUGCCUCUAUAACUUUAUUGUUAGUUGCUAUUAUUGGGUAAUCCCAUUUUAAUUUUUCUGUACUCUCUUGUUUGUAGUCGGAAUUUUGUUUGCAUUUUAUUUAUUUAUUUUGAUUACUACAAUGUUUCUAUAAGAUUUUGAGUUCAAAUUGAUGGAUAGUGUACUCCAUGGUUUAGCUUAUUUGAACUUGACAUUUGUGCCGGUAUGAACUUCAAAAUCAUUAUUUCGUGAACCUUUAAUAUGAUUUUAGGGAAUCACUAAUCCAUAUAUUUCUUUUUCUUUUUCUUUCCGGUGUGCCUAUAAAAUUCUCGAUUGAGUUCGAUGGAUUUAAUGAUCUAUCUCAUUGCAUUUCUUAAUGGGCCAUAAAAGCCCAAAGAUUUAUGUCUUGUAACCAAAGCUGGAAUUCGAUUUUUCAAGCUAUGAAAUGCCGAAAAAGAGGUUGUACAUGCUGUAUACAUGGUUUAUACAGUGAUAUACAAUUGUAAAUAAUGUAUACAGGUUUAAAUACGGCGAAGCAGGUCGUAAUACAUAAAAUGUGAAAAGAAAUACAAAUUUAGGAGUUCAAAACAAUUCAAACACUUGGUGUAUAUGAUAUAUACACUUGGUGUAUAUCUUGUCAUUUGAAGAGUGAAAAGAAUCCCAAAAAGGCUUAAAAGAAGGGCCCUGAUCCUUGGUCUAAUUGGGCCUUUCUCUAUAGCUCGAAUCGAAUAGCUGGGCUAGCCCUUCCCCUGGCUUGGUUGGUUAUAUAAGAGAAUCCCGGGAGAAAGCAAGUUAGACCUUACUUAGGGCGAAAGAUUUCUUGCAGAUUUUUUAGGGCAACUUUCACAUAUAACAAACAAAAAAUUCAUAUUUGCAUUAUAGCAAAAUCUACAUAAUUGCUCCAUACCAAACUUAUAUAUGUAUAAUUCGCUAUACAUGUACAAUUGAAGCAAAUUCUAUAAAACGAAAAAGAGAAAUUAUAUACAAUUUGAAUUGUAUAAAAUGAGAAAGCGAGAAAUGCAGAAUUGAAUUGCAUAAAACGAGAAAGAAAUAAAUUUUAUACAAUUUGAAUUUGUAUAAAACGAGAACGAGAGGAAGACAAAUACAGACUUGUGCAGGAAAUAUAUAAUUGAAUCGAAUUCUAUAAAACGAGAAAGAGAGAAAUUAUAUAUAAUUUGAAUUGUAUAAAACGAUAAAGAGAGAAAUUAUAGACAAUUUGAAUUUGUAUAAAACAAGAAAGGAAAAAAGAGACUUGGGUAGAGAAAUAUUUGUAUUAUAUAAUUAUAAGUAUAUAGGACGAAGAUAUAUGUAUUUGCAUGCGUUUAUACCAUUUUCUCUCGUUUUAUACAAUUAGAAACACAAUUCUAUUGUGUAAUGCGAGAGAGGCGAGCGACAGGAAUAAGCGAGUGAGAGAGGGAGAUUGGCGAGCGAGAAUAUGAGGGAGAGAGGGACUGACAAACAGUUUGCUAUGGAACACAAAUAAACCAAAGGAUAGCUACUAUAUUUAUUUUAUAUUAUUAAUUUGUGAUUCUGUACAAUUAUCCCCAUUUUUAUCAAAUAGGCCCAAACCCUUACUUGGGUUUUUUUUAGUAUUAAGACAGGUACAUAAAAUGGGGCAAAGGCCCGAGUUUAAUACUCUCUCCCUUUUCCACUUUAUUUAUUUGUUAUUGUGUUAACUAACAUUAUAUUUAAUCUUUAGUUUUGUCUUAAUUAACUACCAAAGAUAUUCAUUUCUUAUUUUGAAUUUAAAAUUAAAUACUUAUUAUUUAAUUCUUAGCUCUAUUUUAAUUAUUAGUCUGGCCGACAUUUUGAAUUAUUUUCCUUAAAAAAUCCCCCUUUAGUUUAUUUCAAUUUGAAAUAAUUUAGUAAUAGUAAAAUAACUAAAUGAAUAAAAAAAUGAAAUUUCUAUACUUGAUUAAAACUUGGAAAUAUUUGAAAGGUCUUUUAGUAAAAUCAUUGGUCAACCGCGAGUUAGGGGACAUUCAGAGGGCCUAACACCUUCUUGGAGUGUAAAUUGAACUUCGAACCUUUUUCAAUUGAUUUAUCUGCUUAAAUCUUUUGGAAGUAAUUAUAAGUUUUCUUGAUUUGUACUAAAAAAAUUAAGUGGCAACUCGGUUAAUUUGGAAAAUCAAUUUCUCUUUAAUCAUAAGAUUAAUUGAUUUUUUGAACUCAGUCAUUUUUUUUUUAUUGUUAUUUUUUCGUAAAACAGUAUGUUUUGUCUUAAAUGUCGUUUCAUACCGAUUCGAUCCUUGUUGACUGGAAUAGCAGACUUGUAUCUGAUAGUACGAGCAUUACUUUAGGUGAAUUCAUGGGUUAUUAGAUUUUUUAUCCCUUAUCUCUCAAUUUUUCUAUGGUUUUGAGGCGUUACCGAAGGCUUAUUCUACCGUGAUGAUUCCAGAUUGAGUUUUACUAAGUUGGGAUACUUUUGUUGAUACCUUUGGGUGGGUGGCAUCAGAUUGUGAAUUAAAUUUUUACUUGGGAUUAUCCUUUAAGCUGACACACCCUUAGCACUCUUUUAGUUGGGUUAUCAGUUUGUUGGUUACAAUGAUUAUUCAUGGUGUCAAGCCGUUAUUUCAGUUUAUGUUUGAUAUUUUACGGUUAAGGCAGUUAUUCAAGUUGAUACUAAUGCUUUGGGUUUGAGGCCCAGAUUCUAUCACCUUGGGUUCAAGGUCUAUAUUUUAACACUUUAUGUUUGAAGCACAAAUACUACCUCUAUGAGCAUGAGUGUACCUUCUGUGCUUAUGGAGUCCAUUUAAUUUUGGUUAAGUUUUACUUAGAUUUGCUUUGUGUAUAGUCGUGUAACUUUUUUUUUCCAUUUUGAUUUUUGCUUGUACCUAGAUUAUAUCUUUUCUGAUUGUUUUUAUCUUUAUUUUCAGUCAACCAAUGAUUCUUACUAAGUACCUCAUUUAGGUAAUUAUGAUGCACUCUUUUUCUUUUUAUGAUACAGGUCUUAGUAGAAGCCAUAAGUGGAGAUCAAUCAUUGGAUCUUUUGCAUAUUGUGGAUAUCAAAGACGAGGGUGAGCACUUGGAGUCCUGGUCCAACCUGUCUCGUUCUAUACAUAUCUUGAUAAGGAUAAUUGUUGUCCUCUUUUGGGACUUAUAUUUUUCUUAUUAGAUAGCUCUGUACUUAUGACUUACUGGUUAUGAAGGGUUUCCAUUAAAUAUAUCUUCUAGUUAGCUUUCUAA